rnacentral:rRNA from 1 species
ACGGAAGGCAGCAGUGGGGAAUAUUGGGCAAUGGGCGCAAGCCUGACCCAGCAAUGCCGCGUGAAGGAAGAAGGCUUUCGGGUUGUAAACUUCUUUUAAGUGGGACGACAAUGACGGUACCACUUGAAUAAGCUCCGGCUAACUACGUGCCAGCAGCCGCGGUAAUACGGAGGAUCCGAGCGUUAUCCGGAUUUAUUGGGUUUAAAGGGAGCGUAGGCGGAAGGUCAAGUCAGCUGCGAAAUGUAGUCGCUCAACGUCUGCACUGCAGUUGAAACUGGCCUCCUUAAGUGCGUAAGAGGCAGGUGGAAUUCGUCGUGUAGCGGUGAAAUGCUUAGAUAUGACGAAGAACUCCGAUUGCGAAGGCAGCUUGCUGGGCCGCAACUGACGCUGAAGCUCGAAGGUGCGGGUAUCAAACAGGAUUAGAUACCCUGGUA